UACGUAGGCAGCGAGCGUUGUUCGGAAUUACUGGGCGUAAAGAGUGUGUAGGCGGCGCUCUAAGUUCGGUGUGAAAUCUCUCGGCUUAACUGGGAGGGUGCGCCGGAAACUGGAGUGCUCGAACGUGGGAGAGGAAAGCGGAAUUCCUGGUGUAGCGGUGAAAUGCGUAGAUAUCAGGAGGAACACCGGUGGCGAAGGCGGGUCUCUGGGCCGUAACUGACGCUGAGGAGCGAAAGCAUGGGGAGCGAACAGG
rnacentral:rRNA from 1 species